rnacentral:snRNA from 1 species
AGCUUUGCGCAGAGGCAGCAUCGUAGCCAAUGAGGUUUAUCAGAGGCGCGAUUAUUGUUAAUUGGGAAAAAAAAUGAUGAGAGAGAAUCAUUAAGAGGCGGUUUCCUGC